UUUAUGCACGACGCAGGCUACUCGCACAAACUGAGAAGAUUUAGUUCAUUGAGAAUGGAUGGAAACUGAUGAAGAGCUGGAAGGAGUUAACUGAUGAGUAGACAUUACAACAUUUCUUAUAUUUUCAAGAUGAAGCUGAAAGUCCCAUGCAGGAUGAUGCUUCUCUACAGUGGAUGAUGAAAGCAUGCUGAUUACAAACCCAGGAGAGGAAUAAAGAACAGAUAUUGACAGAAUCAUAUCUAGAGAUGUGGGCCUACUGCACUUCAUACAAGCAAGUGUGCUAAUAUACCAUACUUGGGUUAUCAUCACAGCCCUUUCUUCUGAAAACUAG